AUUGAACGCUGGCGGCAGGCCUAACACAUGCAAGUCGAGCGGAGUGGCGGAAGGGUGAGUAAUGCCUAGGAAUCUGCCUGGUAGUGGGGGAUAACGUCCCGAAACGGGAGCUAAUACCGCAUACUAUCAGAGUCGCCUAGGUCGGAUUAGCUAGUUGGUGGGGUAACGGCCUACCAAGGCAACGAUCCGUAACUGGUCUGAGAGGAGGAUCAGUCACACUGGAAAUGAGACACGGCCCAGACGCCUACGGGAGGCAGCAGUGGUGAAUAUUGGACAAUGGGCGAAAGCCUGAUCCAGCCAUGCCGCGUGGGGGAAGAAGGCCUUCGGAUGGUAAAGCACUUUAAGUUGGGAGGCGUUACCUACAGAAUAAGCACCGGCUAACUACGUGCCAGCAGCCGCGGUAAUAC
rnacentral:rRNA from 1 species